rnacentral:rRNA from 1 species
UACGAAGGGGGCUAGCGUUGUUCGGAAUUACUGGGCGUAAAGCGCGUGUAGGCUGCUGCGCAAGUCGGAUGUGAAAUCCCACGGCUCAACCAUGGAAGUGCAUUCGAAACUGCGUAGCUAGAGUUUUGGAGAGGAAGGCGGAAUACUCGGUGUAGAGGUGAAAUUCGUAGAUAACGAGUGGAACACCGGUGGCGAAGGCGGCCUUCUGGACAAUGACUGACGCUGAAACGCGAAAGCGUGGGGAGCAAACAGG